UCUGGGUUUUAAGAAAACUCAUUUAUUCAUUUGUUCAUUCAAUAAAUAUGAAUAGAGACCCUACUAUGCGCCAGGUACUGUUCUAAGGACUUCAGGUACAUUGUGGAACAAGACAUCUGAAAAUCCCUGCCCUCAUGGAGCUGAUAUUCUGUUACUAGAAGGGGAGAGACAGAUAAUGGCUGUAAUAAAGUAAAUUCAUGAAAAAUUGAAUGACAUGGACCUUAGAAGGUGAUAAGGACUAUGAAAACAAACUAGACAGAGUAAGGAGGUUUAGAAGUUGAGGGAGGAAGCAGGUUACAGUACUGAGGAAAGAGGGCAGCAUUGAGAAGAGAGGUAGGGAGCCAUGGAGAUAUGUAGGGGAGAGCAUUCCCAGCAGCUGGAACAGCCAGUGCAGGCCCAAAAGCAAAAGAGGGUCUAGGAAUAAAUUCCCAAGAUAGCAAGGAAGCUGCAGUGGCUGGAGGGAGAGCAGGGAGGAUAAGAAGGGAGAUGAAGGGGAGUCACGGAGGAUCACUCAGGCCUGGAGGGCAUCAUGAACUAAGAAGCCACAGGAUCUCGCUGAGGUUUUUACAUUAUGUUCCAAAAUAGUCAGUCCUAGAGAAACAGGUUAAAUGACGCCACAGGGACACAAUCAGCAAACUCCACCUGUAGGAUACUGGUGUACAGAACCAACAAUCCAGUUUUCAUCAAAGGAGAGCUUGGGGAAAGAGGCACAAACAGAGACAGAGGAGCCUCGAUAUGAAAUUCUAACACGUGCAUCUGCCUGCAACAGACAACUGACAGACAAUGAAGGCACUUACAAGGCAAAGAAUGAAAUUGAAAUAAUGACUGGGUAUUUAACACUACUAAGGAAAGUUGGUGCUUUGUAGGUGUGGAAUGGUGUUGUGGGUAAUGGUAUUGUGGUGAUUUUUUUUUAAGAGCCCUUAUCCUUUAGAGAUACAUACUGAAAUAUUUACAGCUAAAAUGGUGGAUAUGCAACUCGAUUCAAAGUGAUCAUGGUUGAGGUGGAGGCACAGAGGAAGCAAAUGAAGGGAUGGGUGCAGGAGAGAUCAUUAUAUUAUUAAUAUUUUAUCCAAUUCACGUAUUCUGAAGCUCUUUUUAGGAAAUUAAAAGACAAUAAUAAUAAUAAUAAUACAAUACUCAACCCAGAUGGUGAGAUUGGAGAGAAGGGUGCCAAGGAGAAAGCAGAGAUUCUGAGGAAGCUACUGCGGUGAGCAGGUGAACAGGUUGCCACCCCAGCCUCCUGGGCCUGCUCUCUCCUUGCUGAAGGCUACCUGCUCUGAGUUUCUUCCAAAGGAGGAAAGAGGGUGCUUCUGGGGCUACCCCACCACUCUCCUUACA